CUACGGGUUGCUGCAGUGAGGAAUAUUGCACAAUGGGGGAAACCCUGAUGCAGCAACGCCGCGUGGAGGAUGACGCAUUUCGGUGUGUAAACUCCUUUUAUGAGUCAAGAAAAUGACGGUAGCUCAUGAAUAAGCACCGGCUAACUCCGUGCCAGCAGCCGCGGUAAUACGGAGGGUGCAAGCGUUACUCGGAAUCACUGGGCGUAAAGGACGCGUAGGCGGGCUUGUAAGUCAGGUGUGAAAUCCUACAGCUUAACUGUAGAACUGCACUUGAAACUACGAGCCUAGAGUAUGGGAGGGGGAGAUGGAAUUAGUGGUGUAGGGGUAAAAUCCGUAGAUAUCACUAGGAAUACCGAAAGCGAAGGCGAUCUCCUGGAACAUUACUGACGCUAAGGCGUGAAAGCGUGGGGAGCAAACAGGAUUAGAUACCCCGGUAGUC
rnacentral:rRNA from 1 species